rnacentral:rRNA from 1 species
AUUGAACGCUGGCGGCGUGCUUUACACAUGCAAGUCGGACGAGUGGCGAACGGGUGAGUAACGCAUCGGAACGUACCGAGUAAUGGGGGAUAACUGUCCGAAAGGACAGCUAAUACCGCAUAUUAUUCGAGCGGCCGAUGUCUGAUUAGCUGGUUGGCGGGGUAAAGCCCCACCAAGGCGACGAUCCGUAGCGGGGCUGAGAGGCUGAUCCGCCACCCGGGGAAUGAGACACGGCCCAGACUCCUACGUGAGGCAGCAGUGGGGAAGUUUGGACAAUGGGGGCAAGCCUGAUCCAGCCAUGCCGCGUGUCUGAAGAAGGCCUUCGGGUUGUAAAGGACUUUUGUCAGGGAAGCGGUACCUGAAGAAUAAGCACCGGCUAACUACGUGCCAGCCGCCGCGGUAAUAC